rnacentral:tRNA from 1 species
GGGGCUGUAGCUCAGAGGGAGAGCAUCGCGCUGGCAGCGCGGGGGCCAAGGGUUCAAAUCCCUUCAGCUCCA